CCUACGGGAGGCAGCAGUGAGGAAUAUUGGUCAAUGGGCGGAAGCCUGAACCAGCCAAGUAGCGUGAAGGAUUACAGCCCUACGGGUUUUAAACUUCUUUUAUAUAAGAGUAAUGUGCACUACGUGUAGUGUAUUGCAAGUAUUAUAUGAAUAAGCAUCGGCUAACUCCGUGCCAGCAGCCGCGGUAAUA
rnacentral:rRNA from 1 species